rnacentral:rRNA from 1 species
UACGAAGGGGGCUAGCGUUGCUCGGAAUCACUGGGCGUAAAGCGCACGUAGGCGGCUUGGUAAGUUAGAGGUGAAAGCCUGGAGCUCAACUCCAGAAUUGCCUUUAAGACUGCCGAGCUAGCAGGUGAGAGAGGUGAGUGGAAUUCCGAGUGUAGAGGUGAAAUUCGUAGAUAUUCGGAAGAACACCAGUGGCGAAGGCGGCUCACUGGCUCAUACUGGACGCUGAGGUGCGAAAGCGUGGGGAGCAAACAGG